CCUAUAAAGUUUAGAGAGGGAGACUUUUCUACUGAACAAAGUGGAUGGUCUACUCUGUUAGAGGAUCAGUCCAGGUGUGCAGUGUGUCAGCAGGUGCUGAGGGAUCCAGUCUCUAUCACCUGUGGACACAGGUUCUGCAGACAGUGCAUUACCAGAUACUGGGAGAAACCUGCUCCUUCAGGAGACUAUGACUGUCCUCAGUGUAGAAAGAGAUCCAGAACACGGCCUGUACUACAGCACCUGAGUCAACCCAAUAAAACAAGAGGCUCUGAAAACAGGAAGACCACUUGCACACUGGAUGACAGCCUGCAGAGAGCUAUAGUAAACCAUAAAGACAGUCUGAAAAGGAGGUAUGAAUGUGUGAUAGAAGGCAUGGAAAAAGCAGGGAACCAAA